ensembl:lncRNA
GUUGCAUUAAGAAUUACUGUGUGAGGAACGGCUUCACUUUUGAUUAGGGACAUAAUAUGCUUACUUUUGGGUUUAUGAAGAUCUCGUAACAAUCUGGGGGAGAUGCCGGGGUAAAAAGAGUGAGCUUGGACGAAGGGGUCCGAGAAAAGAACACCGUGAUUUGAGCAAGGUGUUUUAACUGACUCAGGAUUUCAGAGAAUCGAGUCAGCUGUGAUCUUGAGUUUUAAGGGCCUGCAAAAGAGUGGAUAACAGCGCUGAAAAUUCUCGGUGACCUUCUCCAGAUUACAAUGGCCAGAGGAGAAGGCUAAGUCUCUGUCUAAAAGGAUUGCCGCGAGCCAAUCCAGUCUAAAAGCAGAAAGAACUAUUUUCCUAAAAACAAAAUAAAACAAAUGAAUGAGCGCAUGUUGCUGAGAGUGAAGACUCUGAUUAUUUGCGAGAUAGUCUCCACUGUCAGCAAGACCUGAUGUUAAUGCAUGUGAGUGAAUGUGUGUAAAUGGAUGGUGACUGGACGGACGAGGCAGACCAUAGGUUGGGCCGACUGGACACUGAGAUAAAGACUGGACUAAGGUUAGACACAUGACUGAUAACUGUUCUGUUUUAAGUUUUCUUUUUAUAACACAGGUUGGAUCAUAAGUGGGGAAAAACUGAGGAUGAAAUGUGAAGUUCUGGUUAACACACAGGUUUUUGUUUCUACGAAGUUCCAAGGAUGCAGGCUGUGGAUGGAGCCAAGAAAAGAUUUGACAUAAUGAUUAAUUUGAUUUCAUUCCUUAAACACAGGUUUGAAGGGCCGGAGCAUGAAUAUCUAAUAUGAUAUGACUAACCUUUUUCUUUUAAUCUCCUAAGCUCGAGUGAAGGAUUUUGAGUUUGUAACACAUAAGAUGUGUCACAAAAGGGGGGAGUUAUAGGAUUUAAGGUUUAAUUUGAAAUGGGUUUUAGGAUUACUCGAUGACGUUUGGGGUUUUUGAUAACUGAGAUAUGGUAAAAUUGAGGCAGAAAUUGUUUUGUGGUUCUUUUUGAUCUGUUUCUAUGCUCAGAUGGUGAUGGUUUAUAUCUUACCCUGGGCGUGUUUAAUAAAACUAAGAGUGUUGCCCACAUACAUGAAGGGCAUGGAGAUGAAGUAAAGUUAAUAUAAAGGACAGAGCCCAGAACAUGAUAUGGUGAAACAACUUU